GACUGAGAGAGGAGCAGAGAGGGAGAGAGAUAGCCAGACACAAUACCGCAUAAUAAUGGUAACAUUCCUGCAUGUCUAAUGGCUUAAAUAUGUUCAGUGCCUCACUCUAGCCCCAUGCCACAGCUGAUGUCAAAAACCAUUUAAUAUUUUAUCAACAGUCCUUCCUUGAAGGACAAAAUAUGUGUGUGUAUACAUACAUACAUACACACACACACACACACACACACACAGACGCAUGCACAUUUGUAUGAAGCAUCCAGGAUUUUCUAAGCCCUUGAGUGGCAAAAAUUUUAAGCCACAGAUAUUUGUAAAUAUCCCACAUUUAGCAAGAUUCACACCAUUUUACAAUGAAUCUAACAUUAUUUACAUGUUAUUAUUUACAUGUUAGAAACAGCAAAAUGUCCUAUUUACUGAAGAAACAUACUCACAUUUUAUCUUCUUAUGAAACAGUAGGAAUGUAUAACUUUAUUUAUUAAUGUAAAUUCAAUCACUGAUUGAAUUAUGAUUAUAAUACCAGUCAGACUUCUAGGUAGCUAUUGUGGAAAACAUUGUUUUCUUGUUUGACGGAUAGUCUGCUUGUAACAAAGAAUGACUGAAUUGUCUUAACAAAGAAGAUGAAGGCUGUAUAUGUUGGUUACAAUAGAAUAACCACCUCCCAGAUCUCUUAAAUCCACAAUAUAUGUAGUGUGAGUCCUGAGUGGCUUUUGUUUUCAAUGUCUUUUGUAAGCUUUUAGGGUUUUUUCUGCAUCAAAUGUCAAGUUAAUUUACAGGGCGCUAUUACUGAUAUGUUUCCUUGGUUUGUGGUUUUCUGUGAAAGGCAGGCAGCUGAGACCAAGUCUUAGGCUAGGGGGAGGGGCAGCUGAGCCCAUAACACAUACACUGUGCCAGGGUCUGUAAAUUGGCUGCCUGUAUGACAGCAGGCCCAGGGAAACCUCUAGUCUUCAUUUGCAUGCUGAAGAGUAUCCAGGAUUAAACCGGACUGAUUUUCAUACAGGAUUUAGACCUGACAUUUAUUAUUCGGUUCACAGACCUCUUGAAGGAAAGUUUGUUUUCCACUCAUAGAUGAAAAAUCUUCCAAGAUAAAUAAAGACUGGCUUAGCAGUAACAGGAAAUAAAUAUCUUUCCUGUAUUCCUUAUGAAUUUAUCUUAUAUGAUUAACAGACAGAUGUUUGCCACCAAAUUGUUAUAUUUUGCUCUUUAGCAUUUCCAAAGGAAAAUAUCUAUCAAGACCUCUCUCAGUGUUUAUAUAAAAUGUAUUCAUUUAAUUCUGGAAGUUGAGUUUUCAUAAAUAAAUUUAAAGACAGACAUUUGAUUUUCAGAACAAAUUAAAACAACACUGGAGCAGUAAAAUACUCUGAGAUGGUUAAUUUUGCAUCUGCUCCAUGUGCUUCUAUGGGGAUAAAGGAAAUUUAGGUUCUAUCGUAAGCCUCAUUUGCACACUUUUAAACAAAACAUGAAAAUUACAAAUGAAUGCUUCACAUGAGCGCUAUAUGCUUAGUUUAUAACCCAGAUAGUUCAUUUUCAUUGCUAGCAGAUUUACAAAAAUAUUUUGAUGUCUUUAGGUAUUAAUGUUUUUUGCAGAGAAACACUUAUAUUUAAACAUGAUGCUGGUGUUUUUACUGAGCCGAGAUUUAAUUUUUAAUAUAGAACAAAACAUUUUAUGACACAGUACCAGGAUGAAGAAACAUGACAUGGUUUCUUUCUUCUUUCUGGAAUACUGUUCUGUGUGGCUACAAAAAGGCUGGAAGUGGUGAUUAGGCAAGGCCGGAAGAAGGCUGAGUACUCAUGUAUUAGUAAACAGAGUAGAGUUCUCAAAUGGAUUGAAAAUAUACUUUACACAUUUAAUAAGCAUAAGGUAGAAUAAUAUAAAUGUUAGCAAUUAAACACUAUUGUGUCUGUCAGUGCAUGUGGCAGAAACAGUAUAAACUCUGACACAUAUUUGAAUUUUUAAUGUGUCAAUGAAACUUUUGAAAAUGGAUUCUGGUAUUUGAUUUCUUUAUGGGUGUUAUACUAAAUAUAUAAAUUCUUAAAUGUGUUCAUUAUAGAACAUCUCUGGAAAUUUUGCCUGUUUGUUUUAAUAUUGCUUUUAUUGUAAAUGUAUGCAAAUCAAUUUGUGAUUAUACUCAGAAGUAUUUAUUAUUAAAAUUUUAGACAGAUUGUAUCAAUGCACUCCUUUUAGGGAACUACCUGCAUCAUCUAUAUGAAUCUAUUUAUUAACCUCAGUUAAUAAAUGAACAUGAGGAGACUAUCGUGUUUUACCUUGAUUUAAUUCACAUGCAUUCAAGAACACACACACACACACACAAUCUAACUCAACUAAAUACAAGUUAUAAGUACAACCAAAGAAUACAAGUUAUUGCUGUAAGACAAUUGUCAUCUUUCAGGGAGAAAUAUUUCAGAAUUAUAUAUAUAUAUAUGUUUCAAAUGUUGACAUAAACACAUGGACAUUAUUGUAAACUAUGUCUACAUAAGCAAAAUGAAGAAAAUCUGAGACAGUCAUUUGAGAAAUUCAUGGUCAAUCUUUCACUUUUGUCUGCAGUAAAGAGUUGAGGCACUUGCGCUUUACCCUUGAGUUAUCUGGAUGUUUGACUCAGUUCUUCAGUUUGGGUUAUUCACAUGUGUAGACAUAACAGUUGUGUGUCUGCUGAGAGUGGCAUUUUAAAAAUCAACCAAAUAAAAAUGCAUCCUUUUACAGCAUCACCAUCUUACGUGUCUGCAUUACAACAAAGUGUGUUUAUCAAUCAAAUUGGGACCUUAGCAAGGGGCAAACGUUUAAUAUAUUUUCCUAAGUAAUCAUUUCUAAAGCAAUAAAUGGUGAUAUUUAGAAAUGUAACAUACAGUUACAAAUAUGUCAUACAAAGCAGCUUCAACCUAAUCUGGAGGAAUUCCCCAGUAUCUACCCUUGUCAUUUUUAUUAGCAACUCACUUUCACAGUAGGCCCUGCUAAUUGUAUGGAAAGCAUUUCUGGUGGUGUUCACAGUACUGAACAAUAUGUAAUCUGAAAUCAUAUAAGUAUUUGCCUGAGAAAAAGAAUUCUGAAUCUAGCUGGUUGGAAUGGGGAGCGUUAUUUUUUAACCAAGUCAACUUUAGUGACUUUAUUGUUAAUACAUAUAAAAAUAUGGCUAUUUUGCUGUUUUUAGUGAUGGCAUGAGAAAUGUAAUAAUUGCCCCACUAUUUAAAACUCUUGAUACAAUUCACAUUCACUCACUCUGAAUAUAAGAUGCCUCUCUAUCAUACUGCAGGAAUCUUUAUAUCUUUGGUGUAAUUAGUACUGUAUAGUAUUCAUGACAAACAGUCUAAACUAGAAAAAGGAUUCCUACUUGAUAAUCAUUGUAAAUAUGAAAUUGUCAAUCUACUCCUAAUUAAUCAUCAAGAUAAAGAUAAUGUGCAAGUCUCCAAGCGAUGCAGCUCACUUAGGAAAAAUGUAAAUAUGUUGCAAAUAGAUUAUUGUUUCAAAUGCCUGUGCUUAAUAAAGUUGGUGGGCCAUGUUUGCCAAAUAAUUCAGUCAGGCAAGCAAUCACAGUUUAAAAGUAGUUAAACAAUUUAUUCUCAUCUUAAAAUGCCGUAAGCAAAAGUCCAUGCAUUUGUUGGUAUUAAAUGUAUAAGACAAUUGAUAAAAGUAUCAUUUAAUAAAAACCCAUAUAGUGUACUUUUAUACUUCAACAGGUAGAGAAUCAUUGUAAAACUUUAAAAAACAUAUAGUAAAGAAUUUCAUUGUAUAACAUUUUUAUUAUUCAAGUUCUUCAUUUCAUACCACUCCCUGGAGAGGGGCUGAGGAAAUAUUAAAAAAUACUAUAAAAAUAUAAAGGAUAAGAUAUUUGUCACUCUCGUUUAAAUUGAUGUAUGCUGCUGUCCUAUAAACGUCACAUCAGAUAACCCUGAAAAAUUACCAUGAAUCUCCAUAAUUACGCAUAUUCAUGAUGGUGUUUUGCAUACUGCUAACAGCAGACUGCAUGUGGGGUGGGACAUGAAGGGAGUAAGAGUGAUGUGACAGAUUAAAAUUAUUACCAGUAUCAUGGAAAUAGACAGCAAUAGUACCAUUUUGUUAGGGCUUAGAAAACAAAAGCAUAUCAAGAAAUUGUGUGGUAAUUAAACAAGUAGGCAUUUUUUCUUUUACAUAUUUCACCAUAAGGUGUUAACAGGGAUAAACUGGCUAGAAAUCAUUCUUCCUUGAAAUAUGCUUAUAUUUGUCAUAAGUUCCUAGGUAUGAGACUGUAGCCCCUGAAAAGAGCUUUUUUUUUUUUUAACUUUUCUUUGGGGGAAGAGGAGAAGAUGGGAUGUGGGUGACUUUUCAAGCUCACUGAAAUAUAUGAGUUUCUUAUAUGGUGGACCAGCACUUGAUGUUCUGAGUGCAAAGCACCUGGAUAUGUUUCCUUUCUUCUGAUAAAUGUGAGUCAUGCUCAGUAAAAUGUUAAAAUGCUCUGAGACAGAAAAGUUGUCUGGCAUCUACCUCUACAGAUAUUUUGUGCUGAGUCAGAGAGCAGGGUUAAUCAGGGACUCUGGAAGCAAUUAUCGACAGAGUUUGGGUAAUACAAAUGCUUGGGUAAACAGGACUGUUCUUUCCUCAAGACUGCCAGUAGAAACAACAAUACUGGUAUUGUCCUCCACCUCUCAUUAGGGGGACUGCAGAAGGGGAUGCUGCACCACGAGGUGGGUGGGAAACUGACAGGCAAACCGUGCUGGGAACGGCUCUCCUGAUGCCACUACCACAGGCUCUGGCUUUUGGCAUCAGGAGUGCCAGCUGCAUGAGGAGAAGCCAAGCCUGUCAUACCUUCUUCACGUCAAAUCUUCAGGGUAUGAGAGCUAGAGCAUAGUUAGAGCUUAAUGAAGAAACAAACACAAAGGGGGAAGAUUAGGCCUUGUUAACACUCGCAUUCAUUUCCUGGUAAGAAACUGCACUGGGAAGGCUGUCCUAUAGAACGCAUUCUUCUCUUCAGAAGAAAGUUGCAAGGAUGUAUUUUUAUACUGUAAAGGGUGGGGAGGGAAUCUUUCAGUUCUCCUGUAACUCUCAGCCAGCAAAAUUGUGUUGUCAAAAGUGCCACAUGAAACGGUGAUGUCCAUGACAACUGUCAAAAUUGGUAAAUAAGCACUUUUGAAUUUAUUAUACUAAUAGUAUUGGACUCACUGCCUUGUAAGACUUUUCCUUGCAUGCUUACGUGGUGCCAGUCUGCUUCUUUGAAACACUAGGAUGUGAAAGUCUGUCCACUGUUCAGGGAUAGCAGUCUCCUCAUUGGGGUGAAACUUCCAUGUUUUGUAGCACUACAUUGCUUUUCAAAUUAGUUGUGUGUGAGAAACAAGAAUCAUAUUUUUGAAGUUCACUGUGAACUACCCAGAAAGUUUGACAGCAGAGUGCUACAAUUACGUCUUAUUGUUGUAAGCAGUCAGUCAGCUGCACAAAAGUGUAUUGUGCACAGUUGCAAUGUAAAGCCUGUUUUUGUUUAUGCUCUCUGUCAAGCACUUAAUGUGUCAAGGUGAAUCUUAAAUGAUGCUGUUCUAAAUGGAAUAAGACACUUUCUACUCCACACUGUGUGUAGGGCCUACUCAGGAGAGACACGUCUGUGGUUCUUAACUGUGGAAUGUGGUGAAGGAAGGCAGGUUAUCUGUUAAGGGAAUCUCAGAGAAGGAUGCACACUGUUGUAUUGGAAGUGUAAUACCUGUGUAAUACUUGACAUUUCUUACAAAUUCGUACAAGUCUCAGAUGCUAGCUCAAUGAGAAAACCUUGUAUGUGCUUUGGCCUGUGAUGAAAAUAAGCCAAAACACGGAGAGCUGGGUAUUACUUUGGGAAGUAACUUCAUAGUAUGGCUUCCUGUAGUCAUAUAAAACUAUAGAUCCAAACAAUGCAAACUCACUGCUAAAUAAGCUUAUUUUAUAAGAAAAACAUUUAAAAUAUACGCUACAGGAAUAGCUGGAAGAGAAGUCAUUUCACAUGCACACUGUGUCAACCAAGUAAGUUCACACUUGUUUCCACGUAAUGACAACAAAAAAAUGGUGUAGUUUUUGCUGUAUAAAGAAAGCCCAACUUUGUCUAGAGUAAGAUGUCACAGCUCCUAUUUUACUGCCAAAUUACAGCUCAGUUUUGAGGGCCAUUACUUGAAUUUUUCAUUGGUCUAGCGUGACUAUGUUCUUCUUUUUCUACUUAUGUGACUGGAAAAACCCAGUAUUACUGUAUUACAGAAAUGAUAUCUAUUAUUCUGUUGUUGCCGAAAGAUGUCAAAUUAGUUGCUAUGUACUGAGUUCUGCUGCAGUUUUGCUUUGCUGCUAUUAUAUUUGCACAAAAUAAUUUGGCCCACGGUAUAUGCAUAGGAAAUACUUGCACAUAUUAUAAAUUUCUUAGUUCACAGACUUCUCUAACACCAUGGAUAUCACCAGCCCAGUAUGGCUGCUUCCUAAAAUGUGGGGUCCAGUUGCAAGAAGAUGACGUCUUCAGGAACACUUCUCAGAGAAAACUGUUGCAAUGAAUUCACCACUCAAAUGAUGAUGGGUGUUUAUUAGCAUUAAGUCUCCUGCAAUUUCAGACCAAGGACAGUAACAUAUUGACUAUUACUGCCUUUUCUUAUUAAUUUUAUUAGUGGUCACCUUAGUAGUUUAUAAUUAAACGUGACAAGCAGAUUCGCAUGCUGUCUCCAAAUGUGUUUGCCAUACUGUUAAAACAACUUUGUCAUAACCAGGGAAAUGAGACUUUUCUCUUGAACAAUAGAACUCCUUUAAAUAUUUUAUUAAUAAUUACUUCAGCAUUGAUGUCUGGGAUUAAUUUCUAACACUGACCACUAGCUUCUGCAGCUGCUGUCACUUAAGUAGAGAAAAUACCCUGCCAAGAGAGUAUAUAGAGGAAAAUCUGUGCCUCUGUAAUCCAUUGUACUUCAAGUAGAUGACUGUAAAAUGAAUAUAACAUGUAUAAUGCAUCAUGUGUUUAAUAUAUACCUAUAAUACAUAUAAUAACAUUAGGCUAAUACAUAUAAGAACGUUCCAAAUGACACAGUAAUAGAAAAAAGUAAGUUCUCCUGAAGGAUGAAAACACCAUAAACAAAACGGACAGAACACGUUAUUGUGUGGUAAUCACUGCAUGUCAGUAAUGCAUGCAUUUAAAUACAUGGCAGAAACAGUCAGGGAUGGUGACUUUUCGGUCUGAAAUGUAUUGUGAGACUGAAACUGGAACCUUUUGAGGUUAGCUAGUGCUCUGGAUGUAAGUGACAUAUGUGUUUAAUGACCAGUCGUCUGUCCCCACUUUACAAGACGUCACCCAAGGAAGAAUACACGUUUUGCUUAAAGCUUAGUCUUAAUUACGUAUAAACUCAGGAGAAUCAAAACAAAAGAUAAAUAUCCCUUAACUUAUAUCUGCAAGAAUUUUCCACGAGUUUAAAGUUUCCCCUAAAGUGAGCUGAUUUCUGUGCGAAAUGUGAAGAAUCAAAUUUUACUUUUAAAGUACUAGAAAAUCUUGUAUAGCACAGACAAUUUAUGAUAAUGCUGCACAUUUGGACAAACUUCUUCAACUUCCUGUUUUUAACGUCAGAGCGCCGGACAGAAGGUCUUGCGCCACUGCUCUGGCCUACCAUGCAGUCUCUAGCCGUUCUGACUGCUGCUCAGGAGGCUGUGGAGGAACCGGAGGAACCACGUCAGCAACCAGACCCUCAACUGGACCAACCUAACUUCAGCCUUGCCAAACUGAGAGCAGAAAGGAUGUCUUCUGGGCUCCUGGCAAAGCCAUAAAAAAUUCUUUUAGCGCUCAGGGGUGUGGGGGUGGGGGAUGAUCGAAUUGAGGCUAGGGACUGUCAAGUUUAUUUUAACCUCAGUCGUGGUUUGUAUGUCCUGGAUAUGUUCAUUCUUCUUCACUCUCUUUUCAAAACAGCUCAUUAUUGGGGCCUUGAAAAAUGCUGAACUAAAUUCUAGUUUGACAUCAUCUCCCCGUACACACAUGGGAGGGAACUGCUUGGCUUUUGUCAAUCAGUUGGUUAUACCCUAAGAGCGCUGACUUAGAAGAAGACAGUAUCAAACUGCAGUUUCUCAUCACACGGAACCAAUGGCAUCAUUCAGGCUUAAUACCUUCUGGUGUAACUUUAAAGAUCACAGAAAAGAUCGUGCUACAAAAUACCAAGCGUUUGGCUUGGAGCAUAAGAGAUGUCUCAGCUUAGUGACCAAGAUGAAUUCAGAACAAAUGAAGAGCUGAGUGAUUGCAAAAGAAUGGAUAUUUCAUCCAUUCUCCGUGUGUGUCACAGCGCCCUUCAUUACUUCAUCCAUUCUCCGUGUGUGUCACAGCGCCCUUCAUUUACCUGUAGGAGAUUUUAGUGGCGUGUUGGGUCACUACUUAAUUCUUGAUCAAGCCUUCCUAUCGUAUUCAACACUUUGUCACAAUGGAGACAGGACUUGAAAAUUCUGGUUCUUAUAAACAAUGGAAGAGAAUGAAAUUGACACGAAAAGUGUUCAUUUUUCUUUUUCUUUUAAUAUUGAAGCUAUACAUAAAAGUAGAUAACAAUUUCCAGAAUACUUUAAGAUGAAUUUUAAAUAUAUGAACCACAGAGAUUGGAAAAAUAAGUUAUUUUGAGCUCACUUCCAAACAUUUUCUAUUGAAAGCAAAAAAGUUGAGGAAAGUUUUUUUUAACAGAGUUUACUACUAUCUUUAUAAAAAUCAUGCAUAGUGAGAAACUGUCAUGCAUCUUUAGGAGAUGUACCUUGAAGUAGCAGCAUCACAGAACUUAUAGAAACUCUUUAGAUGUCUUCCCCCCUGUAAGCAUAAAUCCUAUCAUGUUCAUAAUAUUUAUUAUUACAGAAUCACUUCUUCACAGUACAUCAUUUAUUAUAAGUGUUUUCUAAGGCAGAAUAGCCUGAUGUUUUACUAAAUAUGCCCAUUAACUAUUUCCUGGAGAAGAGUGUUUUCAGGUGUCAUCUCCUACAUUUGUAUUUAAUCAAGGUGGCUAAUGUAUGUAGGCCAACGAAUAACAGAGGUUCUGCUGUAGGCAUUAUGUUGUCCUGUUAACCUGAAUUUCAUUUGUGAUUCUUCUCUGAGAAUUACACCCCUACUUAAAAAUAACUGCAGCAGCAAAAGUAGGUGUUCAUUCCAUCAAUGAUUUUGCUUAUUCUUUGACAAUUUUGUGCAUAUAGACAAUAUAUUUUGAUUGUAUCAACCUAAAAUACCACCCCAACUCUUUACAGAGCCCUCACCAACUUUUUCUAAAGACUUGGAGCUUGUAUGAUUGACAGUCCUUCCUCACAAUGGAGGGAAGAGGUGACAAGAUGGAUGCAAUCAGGAAUGCAUGAAGAUUUACUCCAUGAUGGAUAGGAACUUCAGCAAAGCCCCUCAUCAGUACUGAGACAGAGAAGAAGAAAGCAUGGAGUUGGAAGGGUGAAACAGUGCUGACGAGUGGAGAACUCUCCUGAGGAUUGGCCAUCUUCUGUAUGGAUGUUGUUCAUAUCAAUCAAUGUCCACGACAGCUGCAUAGAAGUAGUUUCACUGAAGACAUCUGCUUAUUCACACUCGUUCACACUGUAUCUUCCCUGGAAGCCUAAAACAUUUAUAUAAUUAUGUUACAUGUAAUUCUCAGAGCUUCUUGUCAGUAUUCCCCUUUAUUUCUUAAUAUUCAAGAGACAAACUUUUAUGGUAAAUCACCCCAUGUUUCCCCCCGGAUGCAUCAAUGUGUAUCCAGUGUUACAAUGCUGUCUGCACAUAUGUCUUUUUGGUACACACAUGCGGCCUUCCCUUUCCAGCAUCUAAUCAUUCUCUCUUCACACUGCCAUUGUAUAGAUAAAAUUUUAUAUGGCUCUGACACACUUGUUCAAGAAAAAUAAAAUGCUGUUUUCAAGCACA